rnacentral:rRNA from 1 species
GCACCUACCGAUUGAAUGGUCCGAUGAACACUUUGGAUUUUGAUAUAGUAAUUCUUUGCGGAAUUAUUCUAUUGAAAGAAGUUGUGUAAAUCUUACCAUUUAGAGGAAGGUGAAGUCGUAACAAGGUUUCC